rnacentral:rRNA from 1 species
GUUACUGCUAUCGGAGUUCGAUUAAGCCAUGCGAGUCUAUAGGUUUCUUCGGAAACCUUGGCGGACUGCUCAGUAACACGUGGAUAACCUACCCUUGGGACUGGAAUAACCCCGGGAAACUGGGGAUAAUACCGGAUAGAUCAGGGAUGCUGGAAUGCGCCUUGAUCCAAAGCUCCGGCGCCCAAGGAUGGGUCUGCGGCCUAUCAGGUUGUAGUGGGUGUAGCGUACCUACUAGCCGACGACGGGUACGGGUUGUGAGAGCAAGAGCCCGGAGAUGGAUUCUGAGACACGAAUCCAGGCCCUACGGGGUGCAGCAGGCGCGAAAACUUUACAAUGUGCGAAAGCAUGAUAAGGGAACUCCGAGUGCCAGUAUCUAAUACUGGCUGUCCUUGUGCCUAAAACGCACAAGAUAGCAAGGGCCGGGUAAGACCGGUGCCAGCCGCCGCGGUAACACCGGCGGCCCGAGUGGUAGCCGCUAUUAUUGGGUCUAAAGGGUCCGUAGCCGGUUCGAUAAGUCUUCUGGGAAAUCUGGUUGCUUAACAAUCAGACUGCCAAGGGAUACUGUCGAACUUGAGACCGGGAGAGGUAAGAGGUACUUCAGGGGUAGGAGUGAAAUCUUGUAAUCCCUGGGGGACCAUCUGUGGCGAAGGCGUCUUACCAGAACGGGUCUGACGGUGAGGGACGAAAGCUGGGGGCGCAAACCGGAUUAGAUACCCGGGUAGUCCCAGCCGUAAACGAUGCUCGCUAUGUGUCAGGUACGGUGUGACCGUAUCUGGUGCCGUAGGGAAGCCGUGAAGCGAGCCACCUGGGAAGUACGGUCGCAAGACUGAAACUUAAAGGAAUUGGCGGGGGAGCACUACAACGGGUGGAGCCUGCGGUUUAAUUGGAGUCAACGCCGGA